rnacentral:rRNA from 1 species
AUUGAACGCUGGCGGCAGGCCUAACACAUGCAAGUCGCACGAGUGGCGGACGGGUGAGUAAUGUCUGGUAAACUGCCCGAUGGAGGGGGAUAACUACUGGAAACGGUAGCUAAUACCGCAUACCAUCGGAUGUGCCCAGAUGGGAUUAGCUCGUAGGUGGGGUAACGGCUCACCUAGGCGACGAUCCCUAGCUGGUCUGCGAGGAUGACCGGCCACAAUGGAACUUUGACCCGGGCGCGACUCCUACGGGAGGCAGCAGUGGGGAAUCUUGCACAAUUGGCGCAAGCCUGAUGCAGCCAUGCCGCGUGUAUGAAGAAGGCCUUCGGGUUGUAAAUUACUUUCAGCGAGGAGGCGGUACUCGCAGAAGAAGCACCGGCUAACUCCGUGCCAGCCGCCGCGGUAAUUC